GAUUCUUCUCUUCCUUCCUGUGCAAAGCCUAAGUGAACAUGGAAUAGAACACAGAUCCACCCUUUUCUUCUCUGUAUUGCAGAGUCUGGCCACAGCUAAAGGACCAAAAUGACUGAUUCAAAAUACUUCACAACAACCAAGAAAGGGGAGAUCUUCGAGCUGAAGGCAGAGCUUAACAGUGACAAGAAGGAGAAGAAGAAGGAGGCAGUAAAGAAAGUGAUUGCAUCAAUGACUGUGGGCAAAGAUGUCAGAGCUUGCUUUGCUGAUAAUGCCUGAGAGAACCAUUUGGGCGAUUCACUUCCUCUUCCUCUCUCCAGAGUGGCUCUGUUCUUGAUGGUGCAUCAUCUUUCCAGGUGA